rnacentral:rRNA from 1 species
CAGCGCCACAAGUGGCAAUCAUGUUUAUUUGGCCUAAAGCGUCCGUAGCUGGUUAAGUAAAUCUUUUGUGAAAUCGUUUCGCUCAACGAAACGGCGUGCAGGAGAGACUGCUUGGCUAGAGACCGGGAGGAGUCAGAGGUAUGCUGGGGGGAGCGGUAAAAUGCUAUAAUCCUCGGUAGACCACCUGUGGCGAAGGCGUCUGACUAGAACGGGUCUGACAGCGAGGGACGAAAGCCAGGGGAGCAAACCGGAUUAGAUACCCGAGUAGUCC